rnacentral:rRNA from 1 species
AACGAACGCUGGCGGCAUGCCUAACACAUGCAAGUCGAACGAGACCUUCGGGUCUAUUGGCGCACGGGUGCGUAACGCGUGGGAACCUGCCCUUAGGUUCGGAAUAACUCCCCGAAAGGGGUGCUAAUACCGGAUAAUGUCUUCUGACCAAAGAUUUAUCGCCCUUGGUUGGGCCCGCGUUGGAUUAGCUAGUUGUUAGGGUAAAAGCCUACCAAGGCGACGAUCCAUAACUGGUCUGAGAGGAUGAUCAGCAACACUGGGACUGAGACACGGCCCAGACUCCUACGGGAGGCAGCAGUGGGGAAUAUUGGAAAAUGGGCGAAAGCAUGAUCCAGCAAUGCCGCGUGAGUGAUGAAGGCCUUAGGGUUGUAAAGCGCUUUUACCCGGGAUGAUAAUGACAGUACCGGGAGAAUAAGCUCCGGCUAACUACGUG